rnacentral:rRNA from 1 species
AAUAUUUGACAAUGGGGGAAACCCUGAUCCAGCCAUCUCGAGUGUAUGAUGAAGGNCUNNGGGUUNUNAAGAACUUUUUGCUUNNNNNAAAAGUUUCCUCCUAAUACGAGGUACUGCUGACGGUAUCUGCCGAUUAAUCACCGGCUAACUACGUUCCAGCAGCCGCGGUAAUACGUAGGGUGCAAGCGUUAAUCGGAAUUACUGGGCGUAAAACGUGUGUAGGCAGUUCGGAAAGUAAGAUGUGGAAUCCCAGGGCUCAACCUUGGAACUGAAUUUUAAACUGCCGAGCUAGAGUAUGUCAGAGGGGGGUAGAAUUCCACGUGUAGCAGUGAAAUGCGUAGAUAUGUGGAGGAAUACCGAUGGCGAAGGCAGCCCCCUGGGAUAAUACUGACGCUCAGACACGAAAGCGUGGGGAGCAAACA